rnacentral:rRNA from 1 species
UCCUGGCUCAGGACGAACGCUGGCGGCGUGCUUAACACAUGCAAGUCGAACGAUGAUGCCCAGCUUGCUGGGCGGAUUAGUGGCGAACGGGUGAGUAAUACGUGAGUAACCUGCCCUUGACUCUGGGAUAAGCCUGGGAAACUGGGUCUAAUACUGGAUACUACCUCCUGCCGCAUGGUGGGUGGUGGAAAGGGUUUUACUGGUUUUGGAUGGGCUCACGGCCUAUCAGCUUGUUGGUGGGGUAAUGGCUCACCAAGGCGACGACGGGUAGCCGGCCUGAGAGGGUGACCGGCCACACUGGGACUGAGACACGGCCCAGACUCCUACGGGAGGCAGCAGUGGGGAAUAUUGCACAAUGGGCGGAAGCCUGAUGCAGCGACGCCGCGUGAGGGAUGACGGCCUUCGGGUUGUAAACCUCUUUCAGUAGGGAAGAAGCGAGAGUGACGGUACCUGCAGAAGAAGCGCCGGCUAACUACGUGCCAGCAGCCGCGGUAAUACGUAGGGCGCAAGCGUUGUCCGGAAUUAUUGGGCGUAAAGAGCUCGUAGGCGGUUUGUCGCGUCUGCUGUGAAAGCCCGGGGCUCAACCCCGGGUCUGCAGUGGGUACGGGCAGACUAGAGUGCAGUAGGGGAGACUGGAAUUCCUGGUGUAGCGGUGAAAUGCGCAGAUAUCAGGAGGAACACCGAUGGCGAAGGCAGGUCUCUGGGCUGUUACUGACGCUGA